rnacentral:rRNA from 1 species
UCUGGUUGAUCCUGCCAGUAGUCAUAUGCUUGUCUUAAAGAUUAAGCCAUGCAUGUCUAAGUAUAAAUUAUAUACAGUGAAACUGCGAAUGGCUCAUUAAAACAGUUAUAGUUUAUUUGAUAAUAUCUGUUACAUGGAUAACCGUAGAAACCUAGAGCUAAUACAUGCGUAGAGGCCUGACUCAUGGGAGGGCUGUAUUUAUUAGAUACUAAACCAAUAGUCGCAAGACUGUUGUGGCGAAUCAUAAUAACUGAUCGGAUCACACAUGCGUUGUGAUAGAUCUUUCAAGUUUCUGCCCUAUCAGCUUUCGAUGGUAGUGUAUUGGACUACCAUGGCAGUCACGGGUAACGGGGAAUUAGGGUUCGAUUCCGGAGAGGGAGCCUGAGAAAUGGCUACCACAUCUAAGGAAGGCAGCAGGCGCGUAAAUUACCCAAUCCUGAUUCAGGGAGGUAGUGACAAGAAAUAACAAACCGGGGUUCAUUGAACUUACGGGGUUGUAAUGAGGACAAUCCAAACCACUUUACGAGUAACAAUUGGAGGGCAAGUCUGGUGCCAGCAGCCGCGGUAAUUCCAGCUCCAAUAGCGUAUAUUAAAGUUGUUGCAGUUAAAAAGCUCGUAGUUGAAUUUCUGAUCAGGAUAUGUGUCCGUAAAAAAGAUGCAAUACCUAGAUCAUCCUCCUGGGAACUAUAUACGUACUUUAAUGGACGGUAUAAGGAACGGGAAUUUUACUUUGAAUAAAUUAGAGUGUUUCAAGCAGGCUUACGCCCGAAUACUUCAGCUGAGAAUAAUGGAAUAGGACUGGGUUCAUUUUAUUGGUUUUUAUAGAAUUCAGUAAUGAUUAAUAGGGACAGUUGGGGGCAUUAGUAUUUAAUUGUCAGAGGUGAAAUUCUUGGAUUUAUUAAAGACUAACUAAUGCGAAAGCAUUUGCCAAGGAUGCUUUCAUUAAUCAAGAACGAAAGUUAGGGGAUCAAAGACGAUCAGAUACCGUCGUAGUCCUAACUAUAAACUAUACCGACUAGGGAUUGGUAUGGCAUUUAGAACCAUAUCAGCACCUAAUGAGAAAUCAAAGUCUUUGUGUUCUGGGGGGAGUAUGGUCGCAAGGCUGAAACUUAAAGGAAUUGACGGAAGGGCACCACCAGGAGUGGAGCCUGCGGCUUAAUUUGACUCAACACGGGGAAACUUACCAGGUUAAGACAUGGAUAGGAUUGACAGAAUGAGAGCUCUUUCUUGAUUAUGUGGGUGGUGGUGCAUGGCCGUUCUUAGUUGGUGGAGUGAUUUGUCUGGUUAAUUCCGUU